ACUCCUACGGGAGGCAGCAGUGGGGAAUAUUGGACAAUGGGGGGAACCCUGAUCCAGCCAUGCCGCGUGUGUGAAGAAGGCCUUUUGGUUGUAAAGCACUUUAGGCGAGGAGGAGGCUACCGAGAUUAAUACUCUUGGAUAGUGGACGUUACUCGCAGAAUAAGCACCGGCUAACUCUGUGCCAGCAGCCGCGGUAAU
rnacentral:rRNA from 1 species